rnacentral:lncRNA from 1 species
GCCAGUCAGUCCUCUUCCUUUCGCCGCUUUCCUCCGGAGGCUCUGAUCCUCCCUUCUUCCCUCACAUCCGUCUGGUCCGCGUCCCUUGAGUUCACGUGUGCUCUGACUGAUCGAGGAACUCGAGGCCGGCCGGCGAGCACGGUCGAGGAUGAGCGACCCGAGGUACGCCGGCUACCCUUACCCCGCGCAAGGUACGUGUUGUUUUGCUGUUUGUGUGCCUGUAGCUAGCUAGCUUCACUGCUCGGUCAGCUACCAAUUAGCAGGAGACCUCAACCUCAUGUGCUUGCUUGUCGUUUGCGUUGCUGUUCUUGCUUUCCAAAUAAAGGUUACUACCAGGGUCCGUACCAGGGCCCGCCGGUGAUGGCGCCGCCGCAGUACCAGUACGCGCCGCCGCCGCCGCGGUCGCCGGGAUUCCUCGAGGGCUGGUACGUUGUUCCACCACCUUCAUGAUUACCUACCUACACGCCGCUGGGCUCGGCCGACUUCAAUUCGAUUACUUUUACUUCUCGGCGAACUUCAGUUGGCUGAUCUCAUCACCGAUCGUUUCCUGUGCUUCGAUCGGUGUAUGUAAUCCUGACUAAAUAUUCCCGCAGCCUGGCGGCGCUGUGCUGCUGCUGCCUCCUCGACGAGUGCUGCUGCGACCCCUCCGUCGUGUUCAUCUCCUGAUCGGGACCGAGCAUGCGUAGAUCAGACCCCGGUGCACGCGGCGGUUUGCUUUGAGUCGUUUUUGUGUGCGUUGUUGAGCUGUUCCAUCACCAUGAUUUGUAUCAUCAACCGUGUGGUAUGCAUGGGUUGUCCUUCCUGGACUCAUGCACAACAUGUUCCUGCUUGAUUCUUAGCAGUGCUAGCUAGCUGCUGCCUGUAUGGAGCUUGAUGAGUUCGUUUACUACCUGUUUAUUUCCCUUUUUAUUGGAAUUUUUUUUUAUGAAACCUGCUGUGUUGCUUUCGACUUGAUUUUCUUGUUGCUAUAGCAUCGAUCUUGUCUCGAGAGGAAGAGGUGGAAUCAGUGCGAGAGGAUCAAAUUAAAGAGACAGGGAAUAAAGCAGCCGGCCAUGCAUUUCCAAUUUUUCAUGCAUCAAUCUUCGGGGCAUUUUAUUCGGAAUGGGGUUCCCGGAUCCAAUGAUCAGCACGAAUUGUUCGUGCAGAAUUCGCGGGCAAUAUCACAAGGGUCCUAGCUGUAAAAGGGUUUGCUAGGACAAUAUAUAUCACGGAUAAUAUCCCACUUCGAACUUGCUGCAGCAGCGCUCUACGCGUACCCAAAGUAUGCUUGGACGCUAUAAACUGA